rnacentral:rRNA from 1 species
AUGCCGGCCGUGAUCCGCGAGGCCGGCUGCCACGCCGCGUGCCGCGGCCACCCGUCCAUCGUCGACAUCCUGGACGUGGCGACGGACGCCGACACGGGGGACUUGUUCCUCGUCAUGGAGCUCGUCGCCGGCGGCCUCACGCUCCGGGAGCACCUCUACAAGCCUCUCUCGGAGGACGUGGUCCGCCGGAUGAUGCGUCAGCUCCUGGACGCGGCCGAGAGGAUACACGGGGCCGGCGUCGUCCAUCGGGACAUCAAGCCCGAGAACGUCCUCGUCACCAUGUUCGGCGAGCUGAAGAUGGGCGACUUCGGGUCGGCGACGCGGCGGAAGCCGCCCCGGGUGCCGUACGAGGAGUGCCGCGUGGGCACGCUGAUCUACACGUCGCCGGAGCAGCUGGAGGGAAACCGGUGCUACGGGCAGGCCGUGGACAUGUGGGCGCUCGGGUGCAUCAUGGCGGAGCUCCUGGCCGGUGGGACCCUGUUCGUGGGAGACACGGAGGAGGGCAUGGUCGCCGAGAUGUCCAAGCUACGAGAUCAGAUCGCCUCCACGGGGAAGAUGGACUUGGAGUGGUUCCCGGAUCUUUCGGAAGCCGGGCACGACCUCCUGACUGGCCUGCUUGCCUUCAACCCCGACGAGCGGCUCACGGCGGUGGAAGCGCUUCACCAUCGGUGGUUCAACAACAACGAGGCCUCUGCUUAA